rnacentral:lncRNA from 1 species
GGACGAGAAGCUGAUCAAGUUUCUGGCCUUGCAGAGAAUACAUCAGCUUUUCCCUUCCCGGGGUCAAGCUUCACCGGGCAGUGUUGGGACACAUCCGCUGUCUUCUGGAGGGCACCACACAGAAGGGUUGGGAGGAGCUGUGAACAUGUGCUAUCGAACCCUCUACAUCGGGACAGGAGCUGACAUGGAUGUGUGCCUUACAAACUAUGGUCACUGUAACUACGUGUCCGGGAAACAUGCCUGCAUAUUCUACGAUGAGAAUACCAAACAUUAUGAGCUGUUAAACUACAGUGAGCACGGGACAACGGUGGACAAUGUGCUGUAUUCAUGUGACUUCUCUGAGAAGACCCCGCCAACCCCCCCAAGCAGU